rnacentral:rRNA from 1 species
CCUACGGGAGGCAGCAGUGAGGAAUAUUGGUCAAUGGACGCAAGUCUGAACCAGCCAAGUAGCGUGCAGGAUGACGGCCCUAUGAGUUGUAAACUGCUUUUGUACGGGAAUAAACGGAGGCACGUGUACCUGUUUGUAUGUAUUUUAUGAAUAAGGAUCGGCUAACUCCGUGCCAGCAGCCGCGGUAAUACGGAGGAUUCAAGCGUUAUCCGGAUUUAUUGGGUUUAAAGGGUGCGUAGAUGGUCUGUUAAGUCAGUGGUGAAAGCACGCGGCUCAACUGUGGAAUUGCAAUUGAUACUGGCAGUCUUGAGUGUAGUUGAGGUAGGCGGAAUGCAUGGUGUAGCGGUGAAAUGCUGAGAGAGCAUGAAGAACACCGAUUGCGAAGGCAGCUUACCAAGCUGCGACUGACGUUGAGGCUCGAAAGUGUGGGUAGCAAACAGGAUUAGAUACCCCGGUAGUC